UUAUUUUUGAGUGGCUGUAUUUUUUAUGCUUCACUUGUGCGUCUAUUGAUGUGUGUGUCUGUCUUAUGGUUGAACCAUAAAAAAGUUGUUCCUUUAAUUUUCUUAAUAGUUUAUAUAAUUUGAACUCUAUUCAUAUUAUGGGUUUUCUGACAAAAAUGCUUUCAAUUAUGCAUCUUUUUGGUUGACAAAAAUCUGUUUGGGUUGCAUUCUGUAACCUAAAUAUUUGUACUACUAUUAAUGUGGUAUCACUUUGGUCUAGCAAAACCAUCAUUAUGUGACAUGAAGUCCUUUUGAAACUUUCAGUUCAUUAUUCUCCUUAUCUAGACUGAAUUGUUUUUCUCAGAAUCCACUUCUCUGAAAUCAUACGAACCAUGGGAAUUCAUUGACAACAUCUUUUUGACCUCAAGGUCUCGUUGUCUUUAUUCUUAAAAUUUUACACGCUGCUCGAAAUAAUGUGCUUCUUGCAGUUCCAUCUCUGCUUUAUGCUAUUAAUAAUUACCUAAAGUUUAUCAUGCAGGUGGUGUUGACGAGGUGCACAUGUUUAUACCUUUGCUUUCACUGUUCUAAUCUUGGAGACAGAAUGCAUUUUUCUCAUUUUUUCUCUCUUGAUUUUUGCUUUUAUUAGCUACUGAAGUGAACCAUCUUUUGGAAUUUGUGGUUGUCUUAGGUACUGGUCCUUUUGAAAUUUAGUACGGUGCUUUAUUUUGUUACAGCUGAGGCUGUGGCAGGAUCAACAACAUGGUUGGGUCGAGGACUUUCUUGUGUAUGUACUCAGAGCAGAGAGAGUGAUGCUCGUCCAUCAUUUGAUUUAACUCUUUCCCAGGCACUUAGAUUAAGGUCAAAUGAGCUAAAAUUGGAGAGGCAAUUGGAGAACACAAAGGCUGAAAUUUCUUCUUUCAAGUAUGCUA